rnacentral:rRNA from 1 species
AAAGAAAAGCCUCUAAGCUUCAGUCUAACGAGACCGUACCGCAAACCGACACAGUUGGGCGAGAUGAGUAUUCUAAGGCGCUUGAGAGAACUCGGGAGAAGGAACUCGGCAAAUUGGUACCGUAACUUCGGGAUAAGGUACGCCCUUGUAGUUUGACUGGCCUGCGCCAGAAGGACGAAGGGGUUGCAAUAAAUUGGUGGCUGCGACUGUUUAAUAAAAACACAGCACUCUGCAAACACGAAAGUGGACGUAUAGGGUGUGACUCCUGCCCGGUGCUGGAAGAUUAAAUGAUGGGGUGCAAGCUCUUGAUUGAAGUCCCAGUAAACGGCGGCCGUAACUAUAACGGUCCUAAGGUAGCGAAAUUCCUUGUCGGGUAAGUUCCGACCUGCACGAAUGGAGUAACGAUGGCCACACUGUCUCCUCCCGAGACUCAGCGAAGUUGAAAUGUUUGUGAUGAUGCAAUCUACCCGCGGCUAGACGGAAAGACCCCAUGAACCUUUACUGUAGCUUUGCAUUGGACUUUGAACCAAUCUGUGUAGGAUAGGUGGGAGGCUUUGAAGCGGGGACGCCAGUUCUCGUGGAGCCAUCCUUGAAAUACCACCCUGGUUUGUUUGAGGUUCUAACCUUGGUCCGUUAUCCGGAUCGGGGACAGUGCAUGGUAGGCAGUUUGACUGGGGCGGUCUCCUCCCAAAGUGUAACGGAGGAGUUCGAAGGUACGCUAAUUACGGUCGGACAUCGUGAUGAUAGUGCAAUGGCAUAAGCGUGCUUAACUGCGAGACUGACAAGUCGAGCAGGUACGAAAGUAGGACAUAGUGAUCCGGUGGUUCUGUAUGGAAGGGCCAUCGCUCAACGGAUAAAAGGUACUCUGGGGAUAACAGGCUGAUUCCUCCCAAGAGUUCAUAUCGACGGGGGAGUUUGGCACCUCGAUGUCGGCUCAUCACAUCCUGGGGCUGUAGCCGGUCCCAAGGGUAUGGCUGUUCGCCAUUUAAAGUGGUACGUGAGCUGGGUUUAAAACGUCGUGAGACAGUUUGGUCCCUAUCUGCCGUGGGCGUUGGAAAUUUGAAGGGGGCUGCUCCUAGUACGAGAGGACCGGAGUGGACGAACCUCUGGUGUACCGGUUGUCACGCCAGUGGCAUUGCCGGGUAGCUAAGUUCGGAAGAGAUAACCGCUGAAAGCAUCUAAGCGGAAAACUUGCCUUGAGAUGAGAUUUCCCAGAGCCUUGAGCUCUUUAAAGGGUCGUUCGAGACCAGGACGUUGAUAGGCUGGGUGUGGAAGUGGAAAAA